rnacentral:rRNA from 1 species
AUUGAACGCUGGCGGCCGGCCUAACACAUGCAAGUCGAACGAGUGGCGGACGGGUGAGUAAUGUCUGGGCAACUGCCUGAUGGAGGGGGAUAACUACUGGAAACGGUAGCUAAUACCGCAUACCAUCGGAUGUGCCCAGAUUGGAUUAGCUAGCAGGUGGGGUAAAGGCUCACCUAGGCGAAGAUCCCUAGCUGGUCUGAGAGGAUGACCAGCCACAAUGGCACUGAGACACGGUCCAGAAUCCUACGUGAGGCAGCAGUGGGGAAUAUUGCACAAUGGGCGCAAGCCUGAUGCAGCCAUGCCGCGUGUAUGAAGAAGGCCUUCGGGUUGUAAAGUACUUUCAUCGGGGAGGCGUUACCCGCAGAAGAAGCACCGGCUAACUCCGUGACAGCAGCCGCGGUAAUAC